GACGAACGCUGGCGGCGUGCUUAACACAUGCAAGUCGAACGGAAAGGCCCCUUUGGGGGUACUCGAGUGGCGAACGGGUGAGUAACACGUGAGUAACCUGCCCUUGACUUCGGGAUAACUUCAGGCAACUGGGGCUAAUACCGGAUAGGAAUCCUUGCUGCAUGGUGGGGGUUGGAAAGCUUCGGCGGUUUUGGAUGGACUCGCGGCUUAUCAGCUUGUUGGUGGGGUAGUGGCUUACCAAGGCUUUGACGGGUAGCCGGCCUGAGAGGGCGACCGGCCACAUUGGGACUGAGAGACGGCCCAGACUCCAACGGGAGGCAGCAGGGGGGAAUAUUGCACAAUGGGCGGAGGCCUGAUGCAGCAACGCCGCGUGCGGGAUGACGGCCUUCGGGUUGAAGACCGCUUUCAGCAGGGGCGAAGCUUGUGGUGACGGUACCUGCAGAAGAAGCACCGGCUAACUACGUG
rnacentral:rRNA from 1 species